AUUUGCAAAAAUUACCCCACAACGACGAAUAAUUGCAAGACUCGUGUCGCGGUUGUUCUGUUGAGCGCUGGGCAACGACAAAAUGCCAUUGGCGUCAUUUUACCACGCCCUCGUUGGAUCAUCCAAAUUGGGAACGGAAUUGAUCAAAGCCUUCAUUAUUCCGAAAAUACGAACGAUAUAGGUGGACGCAUCGAACUUUACUUGGAUGGAACAGGGCAGGCCAAUGCCGAUCGGAUAGCAGCCUCCCACAUCAAGCAAUUGACGAUCUCAUGAAAGUGACGCGCCAAUCGCCUGAUAACAUUGACGAUUACCGUCAGGAGUUCGGGUACCUUGGGCCGGCUCUUCACGGCGCCGUAAAUAGAGCCCGAUCUCAG